UAGGAUUAAAGGUGUGUACCACCAUGCUC
rnacentral:piRNA from 1 species